rnacentral:rRNA from 1 species
UACGUAGGGGGCUAGCGUUGUCCGGAAUCAUUGGGCGUAAAGAGCGUGUAGGCGGCCCGGUAAGUCCGCUGUGAAAGUCGGGGGCUCAACCCUCGAAUGCCGGUGGAUACUGUCGGGCUAGAGUGCGGAAGAGGCGAGUGGAAUUCCUGGUGUAGCGGUGAAAUGCGCAGAUAUCAGGAAGAACACCGGUGGCGAAGGCGGGUCUCUGGGCCGAUACUGACGCUGAGGAGCGAAAGCGUGGGGAGCGAACAGG